GAUGAAGAACGCAGCGAAACGCGAUAGGUAAUGUGAAUUGCAGAAUUCCGUGAAUCAUCGAAUCUUUGAACGCACAUUGCGCCUUCUGGUAUUCCGGUAGGCAUGCCUGUCUGAGCGUCAGCAAAACACCCUCGGCCUGAAUAUUUUUUAUACUCAAGGCCGGUCUUGGCAGUGGAUGCCGGUGGGGGGUUAACUCUUUCCCACCUGCGCCCUCCCUAAACUUGCUGCACGACCAUGUGCCCCUUCCAGCCAGGUCAAAUGGAGUGGUGUUACAAUCUUCCAAAAAAGCCUGCUGGUAAACUGCUUCGUGGCGUUAAACUGUCAAGUCACCUUCCGCGGAGACUUUGAACUUUUGACCUCAGAUCAGACAAGGAUACCCGCUGAACUUAAGCAUAUCAAUAAGCGGAGGA
rnacentral:misc_RNA from 1 species